rnacentral:rRNA from 1 species
UACGGGGGGGGGCAAGCGUUGUUCGGAAUUACUGGGCGUAAAGGGCUCGUAGGUGGCCAAUUAAGUCAGACGUGAAAUCCCCAGGCUCAACCUGGGAACUGCGUCUGAUACUGGUUGGCUUGAAUUCGGGAGAGGGAUGCAGAAUUCCAGGUGUAGCGGUGAAAUGCGUAGAUAUCUGGAGGAAUACCGGUGGCGAAGGCGGCAUCCUGGACCGAGAUUGACACUGAGGAGCGAAAGCCAGGGGAGCAAACGGG